UUUGAACAUUGGGGACAUUCCUGAACGUGCCUUUUUCUAAUCUGGUUAUUUGCAAUUGAUAAGUUCAUCAAAAAUGUCUGAUAAUAAAUAUCGCCAAAGUUUGGAAUUGAAAAAUAUGAACCGUCAGAAUUCCUGGACUCGUCGUACCGUUCGCUCGGUGUCGAAUGGGGAUCAGCUGGACUUUUUGGAUUUCCCUAAUGCAAAAUCUGCAGAUACCUCGCCGCAAUCGCCUAAAAGGAAACAAUCUGCCACCCUUUCGCCACAAGAUCGACGUCGUGAGUCGAAAGCUUCUAGUGUCUCCAAGCAUAGUAUGACUAGUGGGAAAAGUGGUAAAAGUGGUAAAAGCCGUAGUUCCAGUAUUGCUAGCAAAAGGAAAUUGAAAUAUACAGCGUCAUUUUUUCGACGGAAGCGCGCAGAAUAUGAGGAUGACGAUGAUGCAACAACAUCUGGAGUUACUCUCGAUGACACAGAGAAACGGACGAUAUUUUUGAAUAAACCGCAAAUACAAAAGUUCUGCAAUAAUCACAUAUCAACAGCGAAAUAUAGUAUAAUAAGCUUUCUACCGUCAUUUCUUUUCGAGCAAUUUCGACGAUACUCCAACUGUUUUUUCCUUUUGAUUGCUCUAUUACAACAAAUUCCCGAUGUAUCCCCGACAGGACGUUAUACAACAUUAGUACCAUUAAUUUUUAUAUUAUCUGUAAGCGCAAUUAAAGAAAUAGUGGAAGAUAUUAAACGGCAUCGAGCAGAUGAUGAAAUCAAUCACAGAGAAGUUGAUGUUCUUAAAGAUGGCGUUUGGUCAUCAGUCAAGUGGCAACAGCUAAGUGUAGGCGAUAUUGUAAAAGUACCUAAUAAUACAUUUUUUCCUGCCGAUCUUGUACAGCUUUCAUCCAGUGAGCCUCAAGGAAUGUCUUUUAUUGAGACCGCAAAUUUAGAUGGGGAGACAAAUCUUAAAAUACGUCAAGGUGUACCUUCUACAGCCAAAUUAAUUGAAACAAAAGAUGUCAGCUUAUUGGCCGGUGUGUUAGAAUGUGAACUACCAAACAGACAUCUGUAUGAAUUCAAUGGAGUUCUUAAGGAAGAAGACAAAUCGUCCGUUGCGCUUGGACCAGAUCAAUUGCUUCUGCGUGGUGCGAUUUUACGAAACACUUCAUGGGUAUUCGGAAUCGUUGUCUACACCGGGCAUGAUUCAAAACUUAUGAGAAAUUCUACCUCAGCGCCCUUGAAGCGUUCAACCGUUGACAGACUGACCAACACGCAAAUUUUGAUGUUAUUUUUAAUACUUAUUGUUUUAUGCCUUGUUAGUGCCAUUUUCAAUGAAGUGUGGAUACAAUCACACUUCCGAAGUGAUUGGUACUUGGGUAUUGAUGAUGUGCUGAGCAAAAAUUUCGGAUACAAUCUUCUGACGUUUAUUAUUUUGUACAAUAAUUUGAUCCCAAUAUCAUUGCAAGUUACAUUGGAACUAGUAAGGUUUUUACAGGCUAUUUUUAUAAAUUUUGAUGUUGAAAUGUAUCAUGCGGAAUCGGACACCCCUGCAAUGGCGAGAACAUCAAAUUUAAAUGAAGAGCUUGGUAUGGUGAAGUACAUUUUCACGGACAAAACAGGAACCCUAACGCGAAAUAUAAUGGAAUUCAAAAAAUGUUCUAUCGCUAGGCUAAUGUACUCUGUCGAAGAUACACCAGAACAAUCAGCACUAGUACAGAAUAUACUCAACAAUCAUCAGACCGCUCCAGUCAUAAUCGAGUUCAUGACACUACUUGCUGUGUGUCAUACAGUAAUCCCAGAACGGCUAGAAGACACCAUAGCCUAUCAUGCUGCAAGUCCUGAUGAACGAGCCCUUGUCGAUGGAGCAAAACGAUUUGGUUAUAUUUUCGACACAAGAACACCUUCUUACGUUGAAAUCGAUGCACUAGGAAAGCGGGAACGUUACGAAAUUUUGAACGUUCUUGAAUUUACGUCAGCUCGCAAAAGGAUGUCUGUUAUAAUUCGAACGGCAAGCGGCGAAAUUAAGUUAUACUGUAAAGGAGCAGAUACAGUGAUUUAUGAAAGAUUGGCGCCGGAUGGUCAAGCUUAUCGUGAAGCUACAUUACGUCAUUUGGAAGAGUUCGCUUCAGAAGGUUUACGAACGUUAUGCUUAGCGGUUGCCACCAUACCUGAGGAUGUUUACAAUGAAUGGAAAGAAACUUAUCAUAAAGCGUCGACGGCACUGCAAUACCGAGAACGUAAAGUUGAAGAUGCAGCUAAUCUUAUUGAAAACAAUCUUAUGUUACUUGGUGCCACUGCAAUUGAGGAUAAACUACAAGAAGGUGUACCUGACACUAUAGCUGCCUUACUCAAAGCCGAUAUUUAUAUUUGGGUAUUGACCGGCGAUAAACAAGAGACUGCUAUAAAUAUUGGCUAUUCAUGUAAACUAAUUAGUCAAACUAUGGAUUUGCUUAUUUUAAAUGAGGAUAGCUUAGAUAAUACUCGUGAAUGUAUACACAAACAUUGCGGUGAUUUCCGGGACCAGUUCGCGAAAGAGAGCAACGUGGCACUUAUAAUAGAUGGAAAGACCUUGAAAUACGCCCUCAGUUGUGAUUUGCGUAGAGAUUUCUUAGAAUUGUGCACAGCUUGCAGGGUUGUAAUAUGUUGUCGGGUGUCACCAAUGCAAAAGGCUGAGGUUGUGGAUUUGGUAACAACGAACACAAAAAGUGUAACACUGGCAAUUGGAGAUGGAGCCAAUGAUGUGGCAAUGAUUCAGAAAGCGCAUGUAGGCGUUGGUAUCUCAGGUGUGGAAGGACUUCAAGCUGCAUGUGCAUCCGAUUAUUCGAUUGGACAAUUUAGAUUCUUACUACGGUUAUUACUGGUUCACGGGGCGUGGAACUAUAGCCGCAUGUGUAAAUUAAUUCUUUAUAGCUUCUACAAAAACGUAUGCCUGUAUGUGAUAGAAUUAUGGUUUGCAAUUUAUUCAGGAUGGUCCGGCCAAAUUUUAUUCGAACGAUGGACGAUUGGUCUAUACAACGUGGUUUUUACAGCAUUGCCGCCAUUCGCAAUGGGUCUAUUUGACAAAGUUUGUUCGGCUGAAACAAUGUUAAAAUAUCCGGCACUUUACAAACCUUCACAAAGUGCAAAACUAUUCAACGUCAAGGUGUUUUGGGUAUGGAUAAUAAAUGCUCUUAUACACUCGGUGUUGCUGUUUUGGCUACCAAUGUUGGCAUACAAGAAUGAGACCAUAUGGGGCAGUGGGAGAACAGGUGGAUUUUUGGUUUUAGGGAAUAUCGUUUACACUUAUGUGGUCAUAACAGUGUGUUUGAAAGCUGGUUUAAUUACAAAUUCGUGGACAUGGUUAACACAUUGUUCUAUUUGGGGCUCAAUUGCCUUAUGGUUCAUAUUUAUUGCAGUUUAUAGCAAUAUCUGGCCAACAUUACCGUUCGCUGCAAUUUUUUCGGGAAUGGAUAAAAUAUUGUUUUCGUCACCAUUGUUCUGGCUGGGCCUGAUCAUAAUACCUGUUGCGACACUACUGCUGGAUGUUUUGGUUAAAAUAGUGGAAAAUACUGUGUUCAAAUCGCUUACGGAAGCAGUACGUGAGACGGAAGUGCAGAAACAAGACCCGGAUCAAGUGAUGAGAGAAUCGAGAUCUUCUACGAUGCAUGCAUUGGGAGCCCUAAUUCGGUAUUAACUGAAACUGCGAGACUUCUGAGAAAUGUCCGUAGUGUAUUUAGUCGACGAGCAAACACCAGAAUAGAUACGGAGCUUGAGUUGUCGCAUGGGUACGCGUUUUCUCAGGAGGAGGGA
rnacentral:misc_RNA from 1 species